UACGGGGGGAGCAAGCGUUGUUCGGAUUUACUGGGCGUAAAGGGCGCGUAGGCGGCCACCGCAAGUCGACUGUGAAAUCUCCGGGCUUAACCCGGAAAGGUCAGCCGAUACUGCGGGGCUAGAGUGCAGAAGGGGCAACUGGAAUUCUCGGUGUAGCGGUGAAAUGCGUAGAUAUCGAGAGGAACACCUGCGGCGAAGGCGAGUCCCUGGACAACUCCUGACACUGAGGCACGAAAGCUAGGGGAGCAAACGGG
rnacentral:rRNA from 1 species